CCCAGCUGUGCAGUCACGAGGUAGUUGCUCAUUUUCCGGUGACUGACUGAGUGUUAUUAUUGACACUUUGAAUGGCCAUAUCAGUUUUGAACGCCGAUGUUUAUUUGGUGAACUUACAGCGAUACAGAGGAACUGUCCGAGGAACGGCGAUCCGGGAGUGAACUUCAAGUUUAAGGAUCCAACGAAAGUCUGUAUUCGCCGCAGGUCUGCAUCAUAGAGGAGGAAGUUCUAUUAAUAAUCCUGUUUUGAUUCUUUGCAAAGAUGGAAAAAAAAACUACAUUUGUCUUCAAAUCAGGUUUAAUGAUUUUCAAUACCAAGUGAUCGUUGAUGACAGCUAGAUUUACAGACUCGCGUUAUGGCAUCUCCCAGACUUGAGUCUCUUUGCUGUAUUAACAUUUCUGACACUAAAGAUGAUUUUAUGCUUGGUACCAAAGUUUACAACAUUACAUGCAUUGUGAGCUCAUCGCUAAGUAUUUUAGGAGCUGUCUACACAUUGCUGCCUCGAAAAGUACCAGAGAAUGCUAGAAGAAGGACAUCCAUUGGCCAGGACAGGCAAAGGAAGAUCAUAGAUUGGUUGGCUGUAGCUGAUUUUCUUGCAUGUAUAGGUAUUUUAGUAAGGUCAAGUGUAUGGUUAGGACGAUAUGAUUACUUCAAAAAGAUUCCAAUUACAGCACAUGGUGAAAGUUUUGAUAGAAUUUUCUGUGCACUUUCAGGGG